CCACAUCUCAAAUUCCUCCUCUUUGAAGCCUAUGGCUGGUCAGGAAAAGUAUUUUCAGUAGUCCCUCAGAAAAGGGUCUUGGGUAUUUUCUUUACCUAAGAGAUGUGGAUGUGACUUCUGAGGGACAGUCUAGAUCUGUCUGCUGCAUCAGACCUAUUCUUAAGGUUUCCAGGGUAAGAGAACUUGAAGAGCAUUGGAUCAGACUGGCUGGUAGCAGAAUUCUGGUGACAGCGAGAUUGUAAAUAAUAUGUACGAGACCGACCCUGAUCUCCUUGCUGGCGAAAGUGCAGAGGAGGAAACAGAGGACAGUAUUAUGUCCCCCAUCCCUGUCGGACCUCCGUCACCCUUUCCCACCAGUGAGGACUUCACUCCCAAGGAGGGCUCACCUUAUGAAGCUCCUGUCUACAUUCCUGAUGACAUUCCAAUCCCACCAGAUUUUGAACUCAGAGAAUCUUCGAUUCCAGGGGCAGGGCUAGGGAUUUGGGCCAAAAAGAAGAUUGAAGUUGGGGAAAGAUUUGGACCUUAUGUGACAGUACAGAGGAGCACGUUAAAGGAAGCAAACUUUGGAUGGGAGCAAAUACUGACGGAUCCUGAGGUGACUUCCCAAGAGGGCAACAUAAAAAAGAUUGCUGAUGACCUGGGAAAUGAGAAAUUCUGUGUUGAUGCUAGCCAGAGUGGAGCUGGGAACUGGCUGAAAUACAUCCGUGUGGCCUGUUCCUGCGAUGAACAGAAUCUAGCUGUGUGUCACGUUAAUGACCAGAUCUAUUAUAAAGUUAUUAAAGAAAUUGAGCCAGGAGAAGAGCUCUUGGCGUAUACGAAGGAAGGUGGCUAUUCGCUCGGGAACAUGGCGCCCAGCAUGGAAGAAGAGCACACGUUUCGUUGCGAGGACUGCGAUGAGCUUUUCCAGUCCAAGCUCGACCUGCGGCGACACAAGAAGUACGCCUGCAGCUCCGUGGGCUCGCUCUAUGAGACGCUGAACGAGGAGAUCAAGCAGGAGGCUCUUGGAGAUGGACAGGUCUAUGAGUGCAAAGACUGUGAGAGGAUGUUCCCCAAUAAAUACGUGUUUACCGACCCCAGCAACCUCCAGCGGCACAUCCGUUCCCAGCACGUCGGCGCGCGAGCCCAUGCCUGCCCAGACUGCGGCAAAACCUUUGCCACCUCGUCCGGCCUCAAACAACACAAGCACAUUCACAGUACUGUCAAACCUUUCAUAUGUGAGGUCUGUCACAAAUCCUACACGCAGUUCUCCAACCUCUGCCGUCACAAGCGGAUGCACGCUGACUGUCGCACUCAGAUCAAAUGCAAGGACUGUGGCCAGAUGUUCAGCACUACCUCUUCUCUCAACAAGCACCGGCGCUUCUGCGAGGGCAAGAACCAUUACAACCCAGGGGGAAUUUUUGCCCCUGGACUACCCUUGACGCCCACUUCCAUGAUGGACAAAUCCAAGCCCUCUCCCAACCUCAAUCACGCCAGCCUGGGAUUUAAUGAUUAUUUUCCAUCCCGUCCACACCCAGGGGGUCUUCCAUUCACCCCUGCCCCCCCAGCAUUUCCUGCCCUCGCUCCAGGGUUCCCGGGGAUUUUCCCACCCUCCCUGUACCCCAGGCCCCCUUUGUUACCGCCCACACAACUGCUCAAAAGUCCCCUCAACCACACUCAAGAUGCAAAGCUUCCAAGCCCACUUGGGAACCCGGCACUUCCUCUGAUUUCUGCAGUAAGCAACAGCAACCAGGCCACUUCAGGAGAGGAGAAAUGUGAAAGCAGCCUGGAAAACUCCUAUCUGGAGAAGCUAAAAGCCAGGAACAGUGACAUGUCAGAUGGCAGUGACUUUGAGGAUGUCAAUACAACCACAGGCACGGAUCUGGAUACCACUACUGGCACCGGCUCUGACCUGGACAGUGAUGCAGAGAGUGACAGGGACAAAACAAAAGAGAAAAGCAAACAGAUGGAGAGCAAGCCGGAUUUUGUCAGCAGUUCUGUGUCCGCAAGUUCCACUAACAACACCAGCGAGAUCCCUCUCUUCUAUUCUCAGCACUCCUUCUUUCCUCCCCCAGAAGAGCACCUGCUACCUACCACAGGAGCAGCCAAUGACUCUAUUAAAGCUAUUGCCUCCAUUGCAGAGAAAUAUUUUGGUCCUGGCUUUAUGGGGAUGCAGGAGAAGAAGAUGGGUUCGCUCCCCUAUCAUUCCAUGUUCCCCUUUCAGUUCCUCCCCAAUUUUCCCCAUUCACUCUAUCCGUUUACAGAGCGGACCCUCAAUCACAACUUGCUGGUCAAGGCAGAACCAAAGUCACCCAGGGACCUCCACAAAGUAGGCAGCACCAGCUCGGAGUCACCCUUCGAUCUCACCACAAAGCCAAAAGAGAUUAAGCCAAUCUUGCCACCACCUAAGGUCCUGCCAGCCCCAGCCUCAGGGGAAGAACAGCCACUGGAUCUAAGCAUUGGCAACCGCAUCCGAGCCAGUCAGAAUGGAGGAAGAGAGCCACGGAAAAACCACAUUUAUGGGGAAAGGAAACUAAUGGCAAGUGAAGUCCUACCCAAGAUUUCUCAGUCUCAGCUGCCUCAGCAACCGUCCCUGCAUUAUGCUAAGCCAUCACCCUUUUUCAUGGACCCCAUUUACAGCAGGGUGGAGAAGCGGAAGGUGACUGACCCUGUGGGUGCCCUAAAGGAGAAGUACCUGCGACCCUCCCCGCUGCUUUUUCACCCCCAGAUGUCAGCCAUAGAAACGAUGACGGAGAAGCUGGAGAGUUUUGCAGCCAUGAAGGCAGACACCGGCACCUCCCUGCAGCCCCUCCCGCAUCAUCCUUUCAACUUCCGAUCCCCCCCACCUACGCUGUCCGAUCCCAUCCUGCGCAAGGGCAAGGAGCGUUACACCUGCAGGUACUGUGGUAAGAUCUUCCCGCGCUCAGCCAACCUGACACGGCAUCUGCGGACACACACUGGAGAACAGCCCUACAGGUGUAAAUACUGUGACAGGUCAUUCAGCAUUUCCUCCAACCUCCAGCGGCAUGUUCGAAACAUCCAUAACAAGGAGAAGCCAUUUAAAUGUCACCUGUGUAACCGAUGCUUCGGGCAGCAGACCAACUUGGACCGACACCUUAAGAAACACGAACACGAGAAUGUUCCAGUGAGCCAGCACUCUGGAGUCAUUACAAACCACCUUGGGACCAGUGCCUCUUCCCCAAACUCGGAAUCAGACAACCAUGCACUUUUAGAUGAAAAAGAGGAUUCCUAUUUCUCUGAAAUAAGAAAUUUUAUUGCAAAUAGUGAGAUGAAUCAAGCAUCAACUUUAGCAGAUAAAAGGCCAGAAAUCCAGGAUAUUGAUGGCAAUUCCCAGUGUCAUGGAUUAGCGAAUGAGAAAACAGAAGAUGUGGAUGACGAAGAUGAAGAACUGGAAGAAGAAGAUGAUGACAGCCUGACAGGGAAGUCGCAGGAUGAAACAGUAUCACCCACCGCAGAGCCCCGAGGCACAUUUGAGGAUGAAGAGGAUGAAGAGCCCACAUCUCUCACCAUGAGCUUUGACCACACCCGAAGGUGUAUUGAGGAGGACGAAGCCGGCUUGUUAGAUUUGGAGCAGAUGCCGAAUUUUGGGAAGGGGCUGGAUCUUCGCAAAGCAGCCGAGGAAGCAUUUGAAGUUAAAGAUGUGUUUAAUUCCACCUUAGACUCUGAGACAAUAAAACAGACUCUGUACAGGCAGGCUAAAAACCAGGCUUAUGCAAUGAUGCUGUCCCUGUCUGAGAACGCUCCCCUCCACACGUCCUCCCAGAGCUCUCUGGGUGCUUGGUUGGACAUGGCAGGAGCAGCUUCAGAGUCGGGGACCUUUAACCCCAUCAACCACCUCUGA
rnacentral:lncRNA from 1 species